GAUGAACGCUGGCGGCGUGCCUAAUACAUGCAAGUCGUGCGGUAACAGGGGUAGUUUACUACCUGCUGACGAGCGGCGGACGGCUGAGUAACGCGUGGGAACGUGCCCCAAAGUGAGGAAUAAGCUCAAGAAAUUGAGUCUAAUGCCGCAUAUGCUCUUCGGAGUAAAGCUUCGGCGCUUUGGGAGCGGCCCGCGUCCGAUUAGAUAGUUGGUGAGGUAAAGGCUCACCAAGUCUACGAUCGGUAACUGGUCUGAGAGGAUGAUCAGUCAGACUGGAACUGAGACACGGUCCAGACUCCUACGGGAGGCAGCAGUAAGGAAUCUUCCACAAUGGGGGCAACCCUGAUGGAGCAACGCCGCGUGCAGGAUGAAGGCCU
rnacentral:rRNA from 1 species